rnacentral:rRNA from 1 species
UACGUAGGGGGCAAGCGUUGUCCGGAUUCAUUGGGCGUAAAGAGCUCGUAGGCGGCUUGUCACGUCGGUUGUGAAAACCUGCAGCUUAACUGUGGGCGUGCAGCCGAUACGGGCGGGCUAGAGGCAGGUAGGGGAGAGUGGAACUCCUGGUGUAGCGGUGAAAUGCGCAGAUAUCAGGAAGAACACCGGUGGCGAAGGCGGCUCUCUGGACCUGUUCUGACGCUGAGGAGCGAAAGCGUGGGGAGCGAACAGG